AUAUGAAAUUUUCAGGCUUCAGAUCCCUUUCCACCGUUACUACCACCAAUUCACCCAUACCUCAGCUUUCUUUCCACGAUUCCUCAAAGCGUUCAUAUCGGAAUUCUGGCCCAUCGUUGAGAUUUUCUGUAUGGGUUUUGGUUCUUUUGGAUUUGGAAGGAGAUGGAGAUCGGAGUUCGUUGCUAUCAUUUAUUCAACUUAAAUUUUUGGGGAUUUGGUUUGAAUUUCUGGCAAUUAAUGCACUAGAAGGAUUCCUCUUUCAAUGGUGAUUUGUCUUUUUGACAUAUUCAUUGCAAGGACAAAUGAGAAGUAAUCGGAGGCUGUUGUACCUUACAUUAAGAGUGAACAGUUCAUCCUUUGCGAAGGAUAAAACAGGAGACAAGGUUUUUUACUCCAUAUGGGACGGAGAGAUAGUGAGCCAAAACAAAUCACAAAGGCAAACACACAACAGUUUGAUGAGGUGCUGUAAAAUUGCUGAAAAAGGCUGCUUCCUCAACAAUCAACAGUACUGGAGAAAACCUUUUAGCGUUGCAGUAAACUACUUUUCUCAUAUUUUGUUAUUCUAGAUAAUACAUUACAACUUCUGCAACUUUUGGUGUGUCUGCUGCAUAUAUAAAAUCUUUCAUAUGUAAAAAUCAUCAUUUCCUUUUCAAUGUAAAUAAUAUUAAUCUUUUAUCUUAUA